rnacentral:rRNA from 1 species
UACAGGGGGGGCAAGCGUUGUUCGGAAUUACUGGGCGUAAAGGGCUCGUAGGCGGCCGGCUAAGUCCGACGUGAAAUCCCCAGGCUUAACCUGGGAACUGCGUCGGAUACUGGCGGGCUUGAAUCCGGGAGAGGGAUGCGGAAUUCCAGGUGUAGCGGUGAAAUGCGUAGAUAUCUGGAGGAACACCGGUGGCGAAGGCGGGUCUCUGGGCCGAUACUGACGCUGAGGAGCGAAAGCGUGGGGAGCGAACAGG